CUGAGACUCCGCGGCCAUAUACACCUUACGACGUGUGUGUGUGUGGCGGGAGAUGGGAGGGGAGGAAUCCUGUAGAACCCAGAUCCCAUCAUUCCAGCAACUGCCAGAGCGUUCGAGAAUGUCAUGUCUGUACCUGUCUUCUCUCAUCUUUUGUGCCAACUGUUUUAUCAAACUUCUACCCCACUUUAGGUCUUCCAGUAGAUACCUGAAACCCUGAACUACAAUAUAUGUGAAAUACAGUGAAUGGCAGAAAUACUUUGAUAAAAGAUGUAAAUGCCUACCGACUGCAGAAGACAACAUCAACAAAGCACACUUCACAAAAAGUACAACACAAAUAUACUGCCCAGGUUCUAAAACAUGUAUAAGAGUUAACAAAAUCAGCUGAGGUUGAGCAGAAAUUGUAUAGGAAAAAAUAGGAAAAACACAGAGACCAAUCUCAGCUGCAAGAAGGUUCAGCUAGACACUGCAAGCAAAAGUAUAACUCCUGAAGACUGCAGGGAGCAAGUGCAGACACCGGGAGAC
rnacentral:lncRNA from 10 species